rnacentral:lncRNA from 1 species
UUUGAUUAAUUAUUUAUUUAUUUUUAGGUAUAAUACAGUUUGCUAUUUUUUUUUAACUUAAUUAGCUUAAUUUUGUAGCUCUUUAUUCUUAUAUUCUUAAGAAAUAUGAAUAUUUAUACUAAUAGCAUAAAUCUUGAAAGAAAACAAAUUUAAUUUAAUAGCCGAAUUUCUUAUCCCAAAUUUUUAAUUGGUGAACGUAUAAUAUCUGUAUAAAUUACGUAUCCGAAUAAUUGACAAAUCCGUUUUUUAGUCGUAUUUUUCAACGAAUUUAAAAAUUAGAAGACGAAUUUUAUCCGAAUUAUACCAGUACUGAAUUUUUACCGAAUCCAAAUUAACUAACUAUGGAUUAGAUAUGACAGGAGUAGGACUUGAAGU